rnacentral:rRNA from 1 species
GAUGAACGCUGGCGGCGUGCUUAACACAUGCAAGUCGAACGGAAAGGCCUCUGCUUGCAGGGGUACUCGAGUGGCGAACGGGUGAGUAACACGUGGGUGAUCUGCCCUGCACUUCGGGAUAAGCCUGGGAAACUGGGUCUAAUACCGUAUAGGACACUGGCUUGGAUGCCGUUGUGGAGAGUUUUUCGGUUUGCGCUGAUCUCUGGGCCUAUCAGCUUGUUGGUGGGGUAAUGGCCUACCAAGGCGUCGACGGGUAGCCGGCCUGUGAGGGGGGACGGCCACAUGGGGCCUGCGGUACGGACCAGAGUCCUACGGGGGGCAGCAGUGGGGAAUAUUGCACAAUGGGAGCAAGCCUGAUGAGGCGACGCCGCGUGGGGGAUGACGGCCUGCGGGUUGUAAACACCUUUCGCUAGGGACGAAGCGCAAGUGACGGUACCUGGAGAAGAAGCACCGGCUAACUACGUG